rnacentral:rRNA from 1 species
GAUGAACGCUGGCGGCGUGCCUAAUACAUGCGAGUCGAGCGAACGGACGAGAAGCUUGCUUCUCUGAUGUUAGCGGCGGACGGGUGAGUGGCACGUGGAUAACCUACCUAUAAGACUGGGAUAACUUCGGGAAACCGGAGCUAAUACCGGAUAAUAUUUUGAACCGCAUGGUUCAAAAGUGAAAGACGGUCUUGCUGUCACUUAUAGAUGGAUCCGCGCUGCAUUAGCUAGUUGGUAAGGUAACGGCUUACCAAGGCAACGAUGCAUAGCCGACCUGAGAGGGUGAUCGGCCACACUGGAACUGAGACACGGUCCAGACUCCUACGGGAGGCAGCAGUAGGGAAUCUUCCGCAAUGGGCGAAAGCCUGACGGAGCAACGCCGCGUGAGUGAUGAAGGUCUUCGGAUCGUAAAACUCUGUUAUUAGGGAAGAACAUAUGUGUAAGUAACUGUGCACAUCUUGACGGUACCUAAUCAGAAAGCCACGGCUAACUACGUG